rnacentral:rRNA from 1 species
UACGUAGGGGGCAAGCGUUGUCCGGAUUUAUUGGGCGUAAAGAGCGUGUAGGCGGCCAGGUAGGUCGGUUGUGAAAACUGGAGGCUCAACCUUCAGAGGUCGACCGAAACCAUCUGGCUAGAGUCCGGGAGAGGAGAGUGGAAUUCCUGGUGUAGCGGUGAAAUGCGCAGAUAUCAGGAAGAACACCCGUGGCGAAAGCGGCUCUCUGGGCCGUAACUGACGCUGAGGAGCGAAAGCAUGGGGAGCGAACAGG